UUCCUCUCAACCAUCUCCCAUUCUUCUUCUCCUACUGAUUCUUCUGAGUUAAACCUGCAAAAUCACCCUCAACUUUGUCAUUCUUCCCUACAGGUUUAUGGAUGAGAACAGAUUCAUCCUCAUUUGGAUGCAUUUUGAAGUAUAUAUAUUCAAAGCCAACAAAAGAUGGACUCAAUUUUUUAUAAUCCAAAACUUUAACUUACAAGGCAAGAGAAUGGGUCCUAGGUUUCAGCACAUGUUGGAGAGAUAUCAAUCAGAGGACUGAUACGUGAGACAGUUCCAAAGUAAUCUGUCACUGCCAAGCUAAGAUUCGAAGCGCACCCACUAGGGUUAGCUGACAUGUCCAUUUCAAUUUUUCCGUGCAAGCUUCGGACCAACCCACCCAUCUUUUAAAGUCAAUUCAUAGAGAAGUGACUGAUGAGUCAUCCUUUUUUUGUUUUGUUUCUUUUCGUUUUUUCUCAGGAUUUCUGGUUGAGCACGAAAAUGCACAAUGUGAUCUAACUCCUCUUUACCGUCACAGCUCAAUUGCCGGAAAUAAAAUUAAGGAAACUCGUGUUUUUGCAUUA